UGCAAACUAUCAAUCUACGGGUGGAACUGAUAUUAUUGUCUACACGAUUAGCGAAACCAGAACCAGUUGGCAGAAUGCGUUAAUUAGUUGCACAGAUAAAGGCGGUUUCUUGGCGAGUCCAUCAACUCCGGAGUUGGAUGAAAGUUUAAGGACUUACUUGGCCAGUCAAAAUUUUGCAGUUAACGAUAAAAUCUGGCUGGGCGGACGUGUCAUAUUUUUCGAGGGUGGGGUGAACUGGCAAUGGGUCCCACGAAGACCGGUGAUCCCGUACAUGAAUUUCCUGGGAGAUCUGUGCCAGAAUCCGAUCCCCGGUUCUGGGCUCUACUGGACAACGACAGAGAGUGGGGCCUGGGGCUGGUGCACCAUUUCAGAAACCGAGCAGCUAAAGUACGUCUGCGAGUUUGAUAACACAUUAACUUCAACGACUCCUCGGAUAACCACACCCACGGGUCCAAUUCCAACUGGGGAGAUAACAUCAGGUCCUGCGACAUCUACGGAAAGCACGACACCUUCAAAUGCGGGAAAUCUAUUGAACAGGAUUUACUUUAAAAUGAUAAUCUUAUCUCCUAUACUUCUUACUAUAUUUUUUGAAUGAGGUUAUAAUUUGUUACAUCAGAUAAUGGCAUGUAAAAUCUACAUACGUCAUUAACUGUAUGACCCUUGAUGGUAGGAAUGUAUUUAAUUUAAA